rnacentral:rRNA from 1 species
GACGAACGCUGGCGGCGUGCUUAACACAUGCAAGUCGAACGCUGAAGCUUGGUGCUUGCACUGGGUGGAUGAGUGGCGAACGGGUGAGGAAUACGUGAGUAACCUGCCCUUGACUCUGGGAUAAGCCUGGGAAACUGGGUCUAAUACUGGAUACGACAUGUCACCGCAUGGUGGUGUGUGGAAAGGGUUUUACUGGUUUUGGAUGGGCUCACGGCCUAUCAGCUUGUUGGUGGGGUAAUGGCUCACCAAGGCGACGACGGGUAGCCGGCCUGAGAGGGUGACCGGCCACACUGGGACUGAGACACGGCCCAGACUCCUACGGGAGGCAGCAGUGGGGAAUAUUGCACAAUGGGCGGAAGCCUGAUGCAGCGACGCCGCGUGAGGGAUGACGGCCUUCGGGUUGUAAACCUCUUUCAGCACGGAAGAAGCGAAAGUGACGGUACGUGCAGAAGAAGCGCCGGCUAACUACGUG